GCGUUCAUAGCUCAGUUGGUUAGAGCCCCACCUUGACAUGGUGGGGGUCGGUGGUUCGAGUCCACUCGGACGCACCA
rnacentral:tRNA from 2 species